GUAAAAAGGACCUAGUGACCUUCCUUUUCCAGGUUGUCAGGAUUUGAGAUUGUGAAUGCAAAAUCUGGGCCCAUAGAGCGUGCUGGAUAAAGGACCACGUCGCCACUGUCUCUGGGCGAGUCCCUGGAGCCCCGAAAAACACGGGCAGAGGGGCUGCCUGGCAUCGCAUCUACCAGAUGGGCACCCUGGGCGGACCCGGAGAUGCCCCACCACUCACGUCAGCACUGCACUUCCCAACCUUGGAGACAUCGCGGAGACACCGCGGGAACGCGCUUCUCUCUUCUUUCCGGAGGAGAAAGUAUUUUUAGCACACCCGGGAUCGAAUGUUGGCUCGGUGACCCAGUAGCCGUGCAACCCUGGACGACUCCCCGGGAGCAGAGAAAUACGAAAACCACACACCGAGAGGCUUCACGCAGCGUCCCUUCGAAGUCCGCACAGACCCCCAGUGAAGCUGUUGUGCUGACGAUUGAGGAAAGUUCUGAAGCACGGGAAGCAAGCCAAGG